CACAGCGUGAAAAGGCCCAUUUAAAAUGUCAAACACUACUGGUACUAAUGUGGCUACAUUCCCUGAUAAGACCUGUUGUAUCUCUGAAAGGACGAAGGACAGUAAGGGCAGAAAAAUGAACACAGGAGUUUGGAUUCCACUCGGGAUUCUGUGCAUGAUUAGAGUGUCAGAAUGCAUAGAGUGUUUCAGUUGUCAAAACAUUGCUGAUCCUAAUGAGUGCAGAAAUACUUCACAAUGUUCCAGCGGUCAACAGUCUUGCUCUUUACAAAUAUUCCAAGCUGACUCCGAAUUACGCUACACCAUGGGAUGUCAAAACAAUCAGUUAUGCAGUUCCCUCGCUGUUAACCCACACAGUAUCAUCGGUCGCUCCGUCCAGGCGAGACAGCAGUACAUAUGCCAUGAAUGCUGCAGUACUGACCGAUGCAAUGAGAACCUUUGCUUUCAUAAAAAACCUUCCGAGUGCACUGAUGACGAAACACUCGACUGCGCUCGAUUAAAUACCCUUUUUAAUGUCUGCGCAGAUGUUCAUCAUGCAAAAAUCACGUGUCCAAAGUUCUGUGGCCUGUGCCAGCUCGUUGAUGGGGACUGGGCGGAAUGGGGCACUUGGACUCCGUGCAGUGUGACGUGUGCGAAUGGCACGCAGGAGCGUACACGCACAUGCACUAAUCCGCCCCCUAGCAACGGUGGCCUUAACUGUUCUGGACCAGAUGUUGACACUAAACUGUGCACAAAGCAGCUUUGUCCAGUGCACGGAAACUGGACGGACUGGUCCAGUUGGACUAGUUGCUCAGUUACCUGUGAUGUUGGACUAAUGAAAAAGACAAGAACCUGCGCCAAUCCAAGACCAGACCGAUUUGGCGACAAUUGUUAUGGAGAUGCUAGUGAAUAUACUGUUUGCCAAAAUGAUCACUGCGUUUCCCCGGUGCAUGGCAACUGGUCAGCAUGGUCCGUAUGGUCCACUUGUUCUGUCACAUGCGAUGGAGGACUCCAGAAGAGAUCAAGGUCGUGCACCAAUCCUAAACCAAACGCUCUGGGCGACUAUUGUUUUGGUGAUAAUAGCGAAUACAUUGUUUGCCAAAAUCAACCCUGCAUUUCACCAGUGCAUGGUAACUGGUCAGCAUGGUCCGUAUGGUCGACUUGUUCUGUCACUUGCGAUGGAGGACUCCAGAAGAGAUCAAGGUCGUGCACCAAUCCUAAACCGAACGCUCUAGGCGACGAGUGUGUGGGUGAUGAUAGCGAAUACACUGUUUGCCAAAAUCAACCCUGCGCUUCACCAGUGCAUGGCAACUGGUCAGCAUGGUCCGUAUGGUCGACUUGUUCCGUCACGUGCAAUGGAGGACUCCAGACGAGAUCAAGGUCGUGCACCAAUCCUAAACCGAACGCUCUGGGCGGCGAUUGUGUGGGUGAUAAUAGCGAAUACACUGUUUGCCAAAAUCAACCCUGCGUUGCACCAGUGCAUGGGAACUGGUCAGCAUGGUCCAUAUGGUCCACUUGUUCUGUCACGUGCGAUGGAGGACUCCAGAAGAGAUCAAGGACAUGCACCAAUCCAAAACCAAACUCUCUGGGCGACUAUUGUUUGGAUGAUAAUCUCGAAUAUACUAUAUGUCUGAAUGAUCCUUGUGGCGCCAGAAAUGGCGGCUGGUCUACCUGGGGAUCGUGGGAGAGCUGUUCAGUCACCUGUGGAGUGGGUCAGAAGCUGAGGAGCAGGACAUGUACCAACCCUAGUCCUUCUGUAUACGGAAAGGCGUGUGCGGGAAACACGGAGGCAUUUGCUGUGUGUAUAAAUAGACCGUGAUUCCGCUCGUGAUGACAUUUUCGCGCGCACUACCCAAAUUCGUCCGUAUCAUCCGCAGACACCUUAACACGCUGCACAAGUCUGAUCGAAUGAAGGAAGUGUUCCCUGAGCCGCAUUAAGCAGCCUUCAGAAGAGAUUGCAACCUGGAAGACAUUCUAGUACACAAGAAACACAAUAGGAUGUUCUUCCGGAAGCCCAAUAUGCGUCAUUUGCCCGUACUUGAUGACGGUGGAUUACUUCACAGAUCCCAGCGACAGGAAGUACAGCGUGAUGAAUAAUGUUGAUUGCAAAUCAUCCAAUGUUGUGUACGCGGUCAACUGUCGGCGCUAUCGCAGGUACUAUAGCAGCCUUCAACGCCCACGGACUCAACAUCUUGUCUAAUAAUGUCAAUGCAUUUCCUUAUGUGAUCUUCAACGAAGGCAAUGUGUACAAUCCCAACACAGGACACUUCACGGCUCCUGUGGACGGGAUAUACUACUUC